rnacentral:rRNA from 1 species
UACGUAGGGGGCUAGCGUUGUCCGGAAUCAUUGGGCGUAAAGCGCGUGUAGGCGGCCCGGUAAGUCCGCUGUGAAAGUCCAGGGCUCAACCCUGGGAUGCCGGUCGAUACUGCCGGACUAGAGUUCGGAAGAGGCGAGUGGAAUUCCCGGUGUAGCGGUGAAAUGCGCAGAUAUCGGGAGGAACACCUAUGGCGAAGGCAGCUCGCUGGGACGUUACUGACGCUGAGACGCGAAAGCGUGGGGAGCAAACAGG